GAAGCAGCUCCACAUGAUGUGUGAAAGAAGCAACACAGCAAUGAGUAACGAAUUACAGCAGGAAAAACACACACAACUGCUCCAGAGCUCUCACGACCCGAGCACAAGAGGCUUCAUCCAGAACCUGCUGAUACAGACGAGAGAGGGAGAAAUAGAGUUAAAAGAAUAAUGGAAAGAAGAAGAAGAAAGCAAAACGAUCAACUGGUUCUGCUGUACAGAAGGGAAACCAAAGAAGGCCCUGGAGUGAGGCAGAAAAAAAGGCUGUGUGGAGUCAACUUGGCAAUUGGAUUACGCUGAUGAAAGUCCCUGGUAAAAAAAAGUGCACUGAGAGAUACAUGACUCUAAAUGAAUGCUAAUGUCGCGCCGUAUUUCCGAGUGUAGAUAAGCAGCUGUGUGCUAGCAUGUUCACCGUGUGAAAUAUGGUGAUGUCUACGGUGGCCCUGAAGUGCAAGUCAAAACAACA